CCUACGGGAGGCAGCAGUGGGGAAUAUUGGGCAAUGGAGGAAACUCUGACCCAGCGACGCCGCGUGCGGGAUGAAGGCCUUCGGGUUGUAAACCGCUUUCAGUAGGGAAGAAGCGAAAGUGACGGUACCUACAAAAGAAGCACCGGCUAACUAUGUGCCAGCAGCCGCGGUAAUACAUAGGGUGCAAGCGUUGUCCGGAAUUAUUGGGCGUAAAGAGCUCGUAGGUCGUUUGUUACGUCGGAUGUGAAAACCUGAGGCUCAACCUCAGGCCUGCAUUCGAUACGGGCAAACUGGAGUUUGGUAGGGGAGACUGGAAUUCCUGGUGUAGCGGUGGAAUGCGCAGAUAUCAGGAGGAACACCAAUGGCGAAGGCAGGUCUCUGGGCCAAUACUGACACUGAGGAGCGAAAGUCUGGGGAGCGAACAGGAUUAGAUACCCUGGUAGUCCAGACCGUAAACGGUGGGACACUAGUUGUGGGAACCUUCACGGUUUCUGCGACGCAGCUAACGCAUUAAGUGCCCCGCCUGGGGAGUACGAUCGCAAGAUUAAAACUCAAAUGAAUUGACGG
rnacentral:rRNA from 1 species